rnacentral:misc_RNA from 1 species
GAUGAAGAACGUAGCGAAAUGCGAUAAGUAAUGUGAAUUGCAGAAUUCAGUGAAUCAUCGAAUCUUUGAACGCACAUUGCGCCCCCUGGUAUUCCGGGGGGCAUGCCUGUUCGAGCGUCAUUUCACCACUCAAGCCUCGCUUGGUAUUGGGCAACGCGGUCCGCCGCGUGCCUCAAAUCGACCGGCUGGGUCUUCUGUCCCCUAAGCGUUGUGGAAACUAUUCGCUAAAGGGUGUUCGGGAGGCUACGCCGUAAAACAACCCCAUUUCUAAGGUUGACCACGGAUCAGGUAGGGAUACCCGCUGAACUUAAGCAUAUCAAUAAGCGGAGGA